rnacentral:rRNA from 1 species
GUGAGGAAUAUUGGUCAAUGGACGAGAGUCUGAACCAGCCAAGUCGCGUGAAGGAAGACGGUUCUAUGAAUUGUAAACUUCUUUUGUGCAGGAAUAAAGUGGGUUACGUGUAACCUUUUGUAUGUACUGUACGAAUAAGGAUCGGCUAACUCCGUGCCAGCAGCCGCGGUAAUACGGAGGAUCCGAGCGUUAUCCGGAUUUAUUGGGUUUAAAGGGUGCGUAGGUGGAUUGAUAAGUCAGCGGUGAAAGUUUGCAGCUUAACUGUAAAAUUGCCGUUGAAACUGUCGGUCUUGAGUGCAAAGGAGGUAGGCGGAAUGUGUUGUGUAGCGGUGAAAUGCUUAGAUAUAACACAGAACUCCGAUUGCGAAGGCAGCUUACUGGGAUGCAACUGACACUGAUGCACGAAAGCGUGGGUAUCAAACAGGAUUAGAAACCCCGGUAGUCC